AACGGCGAGUGAAGCGGCAACAGCUCAAAUUUGAAAUCUGGUCCCUAGGGCCCGAGUUGUAAUUUGUAGAGGAUGCUUUUGGUGAGGUGCCGCCCGAGUUCCCUGGAACGGGACGCCACAGAGGGUGAGAGCCCCGUCUGGCUGGCCGCCGAGCCUCUGUAAAGCUCCUUCGACGAGUCGAGUAGUUUGGGAAUGCUGCUCAAAAUGGGAGGUAUAUGUCUUCUAAAGCUAAAUAUUGGCCAGAGACCGAUAGCGCACAAGUAGAGUGAUCGAAAGAUGAAAAGCACCUUGAAAAGAGGGUUAAAUAGUACGUGAAAUUGUUGAAAGGGAAGCGCUUGUGACCAGACUUGGGCGCGGCGGAUCAUCCGGGGUUCUCUCCGGUGCACUUCGCCGCGUCUAGGCCAGCAUCAGUUCGUCGCGGGGGAAAAAGGCUCCGGGAACGUGGCUCCUCCGGGAGUGUUAUAGCCCGUUGCAUAAUACCCUGCGGUGGACUGAGGACCGCGCAUCUGCAAGGAUGCUGGCGUAAUGGUCACCAGCGACCCGUCUUGAAACACGGACCAAGGAGUCGUCUUCGUAUGCGAGUGUUCGGGUGUCAAACCCCUACGCGUAAUGAAAGUGAACGCAGGUGAGAGCUUCGGCGCAUCAUCGACCGAUCCUGAUGUUCUCGGAUGGAUUUGAGUAAGAGCAUACGGGGCCGGACCCGAAAGAAGGUGAACUAUGCCUGUAUAGGGUGAAGCCAGAGGAAACUCUGGUGGAGGCUCGCAGCGGUUCUGACGUGCAAAUCGAUCGUCUGGA
rnacentral:rRNA from 1 species